UCUAUAUGACUUAUUAAGAUGGCAGAGCCCGGUAAUUGCAAAAGAUCUAAGACCUUUACCCCCGAAAGUUCAAGUCUUUCUCUUAAUU
rnacentral:tRNA from 1 species